UCUAUCCGUCGUCAUCACUUGACUGCAGGACAUAAUUCAAGUCGAAGAGUGUAGAUGACUACCAAAGAGCAUGUUUCAGCACUGUGAUCAUCACCUUGACUCGCAACCUCUUGCAGACAAUACUGUUUUCUUCAAGAUUUACUGAUCAUGGUUUCCGGUUCCCAUCACAUACAUCGUUCCUUGAGGCAAUGUUGCCUGUCGAUUCAUUCGCUGUCUGAGGAGGAAGAGGAGGCACUGUCGUCUGAUGUUCCGGAUUCCUCUCCUGACUCGCUGUCGCUGUCUCCAUCAUCGAUGACUUGUUGUCUUCCUGUUUGGACAUCAGGCUGUUGUACGUGUCCCUCGACAGGAG